UACGGAAGGCAGCAGUGGGGAAUAUUGCACAAUGGGCGCAAGCCUGAUGCAGCCAUGCCGCGUGUAUGAAGAAGGCCUUCGGGUUGUAAAGUACUUUCAGUCGUGAGGAAGGUGUUAAGGUUAAUAACCUUAGCAAUUGACGUUAGCGACAGAAGAAGCACCGGCUAACUCCGUGCCAGCAGCCGCGGUAAUACGGAGGGUGCGAGCGUUAAUCGGAAUUACUGGGCGUAAAGGGCACGCAGGCGGUUAAUUAAGUUGGAUGUGAAAUCCCCGGGCUUAACCUGGGAAUGGCAUUCAAGACUGGUUAGCUAGAGUCUUGUAGAGGGGGUAGAAUUCCAUGUGUAGCGGUGAAAUGCGUAGAGAUGUGGAGGAAUACCGGGUGGCGAAGGCGGCCCCUGGGACAAAGACUGACGCUCAUGUGCGAAAGCGUGGGGAGCAAAACAGGAUUAGAUACC
rnacentral:rRNA from 1 species